rnacentral:rRNA from 1 species
CCUACGUGAGGCAGCAGUAGGGAAUUUUCGUCAAUGGGCGCAAGCCUGAACGAGCAAUGCCGCGUGAACGAGGAAGGUCUUCGGAUCGUAAAGUUCUGUUGAAGGGGAAAAAGAGCGGAGAGAGGAAAUGCUUUCUGAUUGAUAUUACCCUUCGAGGAAGUCACGGCUAACUACGUGCCAGCAGCCGCGGUAAUACGUAGGUGGCGAGCGUUAUCCGGAAUGAUUGGGCGUAAAGGGUGCGUAGGCGGCCUGCUAAGUCUGGAGUGAAAGGUACCGGCUCAACCGGUACAGGCUCUGGAAACUGGCGGGCUAGAGAGCAGGAGAGGGCGGUGGAACUCCAUGUGUAGCGGUAAAAUGCGUAGAUAUAUGGAAGAACACCGAUUGCGACGGCAGCCUGCUGGACUGUAACUGACGCUGAUGCUCGAAAGUGUGGGUAUCAAACAGGAUUAGAUACCCCUGUAGUC